GAGGAUUCAUACAGGAGUGAGAACUGCACCACAAGAGGGGAGGCAGAGAGCAUGGACAGAACGAGGAUCGUGGGGGAGAUGUAGUGCUGCCCUUUCUUCCCCUCCAGAGAGUCCUACGCCUGCUGCAGCGUGCCUACUCUAGAUAGCACAUGGGUCACCGGUCGUGGUGAGGGCGUUUUCUUUAUUUUCUCCUUUCAGGGCAAGAAGGUCCUCACUCAAUUUUUGCACACAGUAUGUACUCAGUAAACACUGGUUGAGAGAAACUUGA